rnacentral:rRNA from 1 species
UACAGAGGUCCCAAGCGUUGUUCGGAUUCACUGGGCGUAAAGGGUGCGUAGGCGGUUGGGUAAGUCUGACGUGAAAUCUCCGGGCCUAACCCGGAAACUGCGUUGGAUACUAUCCGGCUAGAGGAAUGGAGGGGAGACUGGAAUACUUGGUGUAGCAGUGAAAUGCGUAGAUAUCAAGUGGAACACAGUGGCGAAGGCGAGUCUCUGGACAUUUCCUGACGCUGAGGCACGAAAGCCAGGGGAGCAAACGGG